rnacentral:rRNA from 1 species
AACUUUCAACAACGGAUCUCUAGGCUCUCGCAUCGAUGAAGAACGCAGCGAAAUGCGAUAAGUAAUGUGAAUUGCAGAAUUCAGUGAAUCAUCGAAUCUUUGAACGCACCUUGCGCCCCUUGGUAUUCCGAGGGGCAUGCCUGUUUG